AACGAAGAAGAGGUGGUUAAUAUCAUACUGGCACAGGAGAAUGAGAUCCUGACAGAGCAGGAGGAGCUGAUAUCUCUGGAGGAGGUGUUGAGGAGGCAGAUAUCUACAGAGAAGGGGGAGAUCGAGAGGCUGAGGGCCGAGAUCGCUGACAUACAGAGUCGUCAGCAGGGUCACAGUGAGACAGAGGAGUCCUCUUCAGACAGUGAGAG